rnacentral:lncRNA from 1 species
GGUGGAUAGAUGUCUUUGUCCUAUCAAGUCAUUUGGAUGGAUUUGAACUCCAAAAAAAUUAAUCUACGGUAUUAAAAAUAUUUAGAAACCGAAUUUCGUAAUUUUUAAAAAUUAUUAUCAAGUCCAUUGAAGUGUCAAAAAAAUGAGCAGUCAAAGUUGAAUAACCUUUUUGAAAAUAGAUAUUAAACUUUCUCAAUUAAUCAUCGGAGUUAUCAAACAUUAUCUAAAUAGCAUAAAGAAUUUUCUAUCAAAAAUUCAAACGGUUUGGAUUGCUCUACACCGUUAAACAAGCAAAUGGCUCAUAUAGACCAUAAAAAACUAUCAAUUUUACGAUCCUUUGAUCACUAUAUAAAUACUUUCUAAAAAUUAUGAAAUUUAGUUUCUAAAAAAUACUCUUUAGAUCAUUUUUAACAGUUUCGAUUAUCAAUUCAGGAUCUCUAUC